AGCGAACGCUGGCGGCAGGCCUAACACAUGCAAGUCGAACGAACUCUUCGGAGUUAGUGGCGGACGGGUGAGUAACACGUGGGAACGUGCCUUUAGGUUCGGAAUAACUCAGGGAAACUUGUGCUAAUACCGAAUGUGCCCUUCGGGGGAAAGAUUUAUCGCCUUUAGAGCGGCCCGCGUCUGUUUAGCUAGUUGGGGAGGUAAAGGCUCACCAAGGCGACGAUCAGUAGCUGGUGUGAGAGGAUGAUCAGGCACAUUGGGACUGAGACACGGCCCAAACUCCUACGCGAGGCAGCAGUGGGGAAUCUUGCGCAAUGGGCGAAAGCCUGACGCAGCCAUGCCGCGUGAAUGAUGCAGGUCUUAGGAUUGUAAAAUUCUUUCACCGGGGACGAUAAUGACGGUACCCGGAGAAGAAGCCCCGGCUAACUUCGUG
rnacentral:rRNA from 1 species